CGGGGCGGCCGCAGCCCCGCCGGCUCUCGCUGCCGUCUCUCCGCCAGCCCGGUCCCCGGGAUGAGGAGCGCCGUCAGGGAGCUGCCCGCACCCCGCAGCCGCCGCUACGCUGCUUGCGAAUGGUACUACCACAUGCCCCUGAAACAACCAGAGAAGUCGGUGAACUCAGAAAUCCCACUUCCUUCAGCAUCUCAGAUUCCAGGUCUGAGUGACCUUGCAGAACCUCACAAUGAGAAGAUGUUUGGAGGCCACAGGAAGUGGAUCAAAGAUACUGACUCAGAAUAUGUAAAGCUGGCAAAGCAAGGAGGCCAACCUGACUUGCUGAAGCACUACACUCCUGUUACAAGGAAUUCAUCUCCAGUAGCGUAUGCUGCACCUGACUGGUACUCACACCACUCAAAUCCCCCAACAACCAAUGAGCCGCAGAACUAUGUUUCUACUAUACCGGAUUAUAUGAUUCAUGAAGAGUUUAAGGCUGGUGAUCAUCAUAGUAAUAACUAUGAGACAAGAAGAGCACCAUUUGAUUUCGAUGUGAAAAGUGUUUGGCAAAGGGAUGCUGAGGACAAAGAGAACACAGGGAAAAAAAAGGUAAAGCUUCCAGCUAUAAACCCCAAAUAUCAAAGCAGAAUCCAGAAUGUUUCUACAAACAAGGAAUUCAGUGGGAAAAAUAAGCUUACUUUUCCUCCUAUGCCUGCUCAGAGAAACAGUGAAGCAGUAAACUUCAGCAAAUUAAUUAGCAACGGUUAUGGCACUGAUUGGAUUCAGCAGCGCACUGAAAGGGAAAAAAGGGUUCAACAAACAUCAGAAAACAGUGAGCAGUCCAAAGAACCUCUUUCUCUAGGUGAGUAUCAGAGGAAAGCAGGAGAGCAGAAAGCUAAAGUGAUGAACCGAGAUCUCACUCUGGACCUGAAACAGGGUGCCUAAUCUGAGGAAACUACUCUUCAAAAUUAGCUUGAGUAUCCAAUCUCUGAUCAUGCAAAAGAUGCUGCCUUAGGAGAAAUGAAGACUUAUAGAUUCAGAGACAUCACAGCCUGAAACAGCAGCUGCAAGCAACAAGUGAAAGCCACAGCUUCAGGAAUGUAAUAAAUGUCUUAAAAGAAUAUUGGGAAAAGUAAAGCAUUAUAUGCUUUAUCAUAAAGUCCACUAUUUAUAUGCUAGAUUACAUCUAUCUGAUAAGAUUACAUUUCUAGUUAAAUUGCUCCUUUGUUGAGUAUUCAGUUAUUUUAUAUCCCAGAUGAACUUUAUUGUGCUUAAUUACAGCAAGCUGUAAAGCACAGGCAACAGCUGUCAGUGUACUCUUAGACCUUUUCUUAAUCUAGUUUCAAGAAGCAAAACUGAAAUUUUCUUCUACACAAUACUAGUGCUCUUCUGCUGCUGCCAAAUAAGAUUACCCUGUUGCUGCUGAUCUUGACUAUACAUGAGUACCGUACCAAUGUAGUUAGAGACUUGCUGGUUUGGUUAUGAUUAUACUCAUAUAUCAUAAAGGAAGGUAAAGUGGAACUGUAUGGUAUGGGACUAAAUGUCAGUAGAAAUGAUUGAACUAAUAUGGCUACUUUGGGUAAAAAUGUCAAUGCUUCCCUGGAAAGAUGGUAUCUUAGCCGCCAAAGCAGAUUUAGACCAGACUAAGACUCAGCUUUCUUACAUGAUUUUGUCACUACAUCUCCUGCAUAAGGACUGGUUGUAGUAUACAGAAUUAAAUUAAGACCUUAGAGGCAUUCCCUGUUACGGUCCUGUUUUAUAGAAGAUGAAUCAUUAGGGUAAGUGAGACUGACUAAGCUAUGCGUGGUGUCUGCACUUUCACAGCCUUUAAAUAAUAAUUUUAAAUUUUGACUUGCAAAACCUAAAUGUUAGUUUUCUUUGUUUAUUCAUUCCAUCAAAAAAUAUACUUUGAAAUAGCAAUGUAUAUUAAUUAUAUUACUAUUCUGAAAGUUAGAUACUGACAUUUUAAUGUUUACUCUUUUAUCUAUUUGAAUGAGGAGUUAUCCCUGAAAUCUUGUGCAAGUAGAUGUAUUUUAUUAUAAAGCCUGUUAGAAAGUGGCUGAAUUUUAAUAGGAUUUUUUUGCUUAUACUGUAACAAACAAAACUUUUAAUAAACAAAAUUGGUAAUUGGAUUAUUUUCCUUUUCAGAGUGUGCACUCAAUACAUUUCACACCUUUGAAUCCAGAACUGAAGAUUUUAAUGCAUUACUGAUUCUGCAUCUUCACAAACAGAAUGUUUAGAAAGUUUGGUUAAGCAAUACUUUUCAUUAAAACUUUGCUAUGAAAUUUGCUUGGAAAUACAUAAACCUAUUGCUAAUCCUAAGGCCCCAAAAUUUCAAUGGAAGCUGGUGGGAGUUUUACUACUGAUUUCAGAAUAGCCAGCAGCUGAGUCUUUGCCAUUCAUUUUAACCAAUAAUUCAGGCUUCCAAGUUGUAUUUACGAAAAUAAAGAACUAAAAUAUAUGAUAA